rnacentral:misc_RNA from 1 species
GAUGAAGAACGCAGCGAAAUGCGAUACGUAAUGUGAAUUGCAAAUUCAGUGAAUCAUCGAGUCUUUGAACGCACAUUGCGCCCCCUGGUAUUCCGGGGGGCAUGCCUGUCCGAGCGUCAUUGCUGCCCUCAAGCACGGCUUGUGUGUUGGGCCCCGUCCUCCGAUCCCGGGGGACGGGCCCGAAAGGCAGCGGCGGCACCGCGUCCGGUCCUCGAGCGUAUGGGGCUUUGUCACCCGCUCUGUAGGCCCGGCCGGCGCUUGCCGAUCAACCCAAAUUUUUAACCAGGUUGACCUCGGAUCAGGUAGGGAUACCCGCUGAACUUAAGCAUAUCAAUAAGCGGAGGA